GUUCCUUCUGCUCUCGUUUGUCUUCUUCUCUCUGGUGAUUCUGAGAAAUGAAAAUUGAUAAUAGAAAAACAGAGAAUGAUGAGGGUGAUGGUAUAAUUUUUGUUGUACGAAGGAGAAUAAGGGAGGUAUAAUCCUAAAAACAGUGAAUUUUAGGUUCUUUGUGUGAGGUUAUGAAUCAGGGAGACAGUUAGGGUUAUGUAUUCUUGAGGUGAAGAAAUCAUGAAAAGAUGAUGGAUCCGUUGAGAACCCCGGUGAUUCAUGGUGGUGCUGUUAAAUCAAGUAUUGAUUCAAAUCAGAAAAAUGUCUCUCCUUGCAUCGACGCAAAUAAGGAAACAGGUGCUGAUAGAUGCCGUUAGAACUGUAGAUAAGGACUCAGGUGCGUCGUUUUCCUGUUUUGUGUAUACGCUGACUAUAAAAUUACCAAGUUAUUGCUAUUUUUCCUUGCCGAAAAGUUCAAACUUGGUUGUAGAAUUUGUUGUCUUUGUAUACAAUACACAAGCAUGCAGAAUAUGGUCUUGCAACAACUUGGCUUAAUAAAGAAUACGAGAAUACGGUGCCACAGUCAAAGGAUAUACAUGUACUCAAGGCUGACCCAGUCCAAAUGAGUAGAGAAUGAAACUGAUAUGAAUGACGGAGACGCUGAUGAACUUUGCAAGUGUAGGUCCUUUGAAAAAGGACAUCCAGUUCUCAGGGUGGAAACAAGUCACCUUCUUGCUUCAGUUAUUGUAAAGUUUCGUAAUCCUUUAUUUUGUAAAUAUUUUAUUCGUGUAACGAGUACUUUUCUAGGUAAACCAGAGAAUGUAGGUUAAAUUUUGCAGUGUAGAUAACAGUAGUCGAUAGCUGCUUAUGGCUGUGAGCAUAUGCACCCAUAAGCAUAAGUGGCGUAGAUGGGAAGCAUAUGCAGAUCUCCACAAAAAGGUUUGUGAUUUUUUCCAAUCAAAUGGGUAAUGAUGGUUUGCUCCAGGAGAUGGUGAUUGGUGUACUUGCCCAGAAAGGUACAUACUUUCUUUAAAGAUGCUUAAGAUCAGAGGCCAAUUCAAUACUAGAGAAGUUGAAUCAAAUGCUAUAUAUGGUUGGAACUUGGUAGAAGAACUACAUACUGCUGCCAACUACAUUCGAUGAAGAACUUUACAAGAAACUGGAUUUUCUUUCAAAUGAUAUAUUUUCCAAGGCUUUGGUAAGCAGUGGAAGAACAGUAAGUCUUCAAGAACUAUUGAGUUAUAUUUGACUAUGGUGUACAAUGGAUUUGCAAGGUACUUCACACUAUGCUCCGACCAAAUUGUUUGUCACGGCCUUUGUUUCAGAAUUGAUACCCUGAAAGUGAUGUUUGGGUCUAUCCUGUUACCAUAUGCAUCACCCAAGUGUUUUAAGUCAUCUUCUUUGUUUAUAAGGUUGAGCAGUUAAGAAUGAGGUUUAUCCACUAUUCCUCCAGGGAGGGCUUGCCGGUGAUAGACGGUGUGUAGUCCCAGCUUCAGGAUUUGGUUUUAGUGCACAUCAGAUAUGUAAAGUUGUCCUAGACAACACCUUAACCUUCCUGCUCAUAAGGUAAUGGUUGCAACUGUUCGUUGUGAAGAGAUUGCCAAUGAAAAGCUCAGUCACUUGACCUCAGAUGAGGGUUGGUUGGAACUGGAUGAAGCUGUUCAAGCUUGCUUUGUGUCAGGCUUCGGAGAAAAACUAAGCUCUAUGUAGUAUCUGGAAGUAUCUGCAAGUUUUGAGUAAGCUUCUAUGUAGUAUUUGAGCUAACUUAUAGUGUAUUUAGUGAAAAUGAACUGAACUCGGUCUAUGUAUUUCAUUUGGUACUUGAAGAAUUUGUUUUCUUUUUGAUGUGAAUUGAUUGAAUGUUAAUAUGAAGAAUUGUUGUGUGAAUUGAUUGAAUGUUAAUAUGAAUUGAUUGAGAAAC